CUCCCGAAUCCAGUCGGUAUACAGAUACAUUACCACAGUGCGGCUCCCGAAUCCAUUCGGAAUAGGGUAUUUUUAGAAUGCAUGCGUCAACAUAGCGUGCUAGCGGGACCAACCCGCGAAGUUACUCCCGCGAGAUCAGCAGGGGGAGGUCAGAGGUCAAUAGGCAUUACGCAACCGGUGAUUACGUCAUCCCAUGAUCCUUUGCGGGCUAAUUAAUUCCAAAAUGGCGGCGGCGUCCGCUAGAAAGGUCUUUGUUGUUUUCUUUGUCUAAUUUUUGGCGAUUAAUCUGUAUGUAAAGGCCAAAAUGCCGAAGAAAAUGAGCAAAACAGUGGAAGAGGUGAUCGAGGAGGUCACUACUGCUGACUCUGGGGAUGAAUAUCCUUUCGCAGCCGACGAAUCCACGGAGAAUAGUGGGGAGGGCGAGCACGUGCAAGCAAACAGCUAGAGCAUAAACAUUGACAUUUCUGUCAAUGAUCAUGGCCGUGGAGGAGUCCAGGGGCAAGGUUGGGCCAAGGUCGGGGCCGGGGUGGCAGACUGGGUCGCGGGGGAGUCAGUGGAAGAAGCCGUGGAACUUGGGGACGUGGCUCAGGCAGCCCCCACGAGGGGACGCACAUAGCAGACGACGUGGCACCUGAGGGAUUUAAAUCCCCCAGUCUGCUGCCCCUGCCACACAACAGCUGAUCCACGUCUGGAUUAGAAAAACUGGCAGCCUGUAGAUGGUGACAGCUUACCUCAUCUUCCACGUUUUCAUUGGACACAGUGACCAGGCAAUGCUGAUCUUGUCAGGACCUCUCAGGAACUGUAUACUCAUGGUGCAAGCUAUACUGAUGGUACUAGGGUCACUAGGGUGGGUUAUAUUGAAGUAAUGUGGAAAAUGUAUGUUUUUAUUGCUUUUACCUUUUUAUUAUGUAUCAAGUUGGUGUUCUCAAGUUGAUUAUCUUGUCUGAAGACAGUAUGGACUGUAAGCUUUAACCUGAUAUGCAUCAUGUGUAUGUACUAUCUUUCAUAAAGGUAUAGGAUGAAGUGAAAUGUAUUGUGAGGAAUCAGCUUAUUAGCUGAAUACUUGGUUCAGCACCAUAGACAAAACCGAGCCAUAAACUCACCUGUAGUGACACCUGUAUACCAUUUUUUCUUCUGUAUGCGAUGCUGAUCUUGUCAUGAUAUCCCAACAAUACUGUAAGCUUUAAUACAUAUCCUUUUUGUAUGGUUUGAACAGAAUAAUGCAUAAAGAUUAUAAAACUAUGCAUUUUUAUUGCAUUAUUGCCAUUGCUGCCCAUUAUUCCUUAUAGUAAUCAACAUGUAUAAUAGCCCUUUAGAAAGUAGAGAUUCUUAGCUUUCUUUUGAUGUAUAGCUUUAUGUGGUUUAUUGAGAGGAAAGAUACAAAAAUAUAGUAAAAUAAAAGUAGUACCCCCUAUUUCAAUAGGGGCUGGAAACCCCAGCACUGAGACUACUUUUUGGUCAGAAACACCAGCAGCUUAAG